rnacentral:lncRNA from 1 species
GAGCCCUGGGCAUCUGGGGACGAGGCCUGGCAUUUGCGGGACAGUGAGUGGCCCAGCCAGCAGCCAAGGAUGGGGUCUCCGCCACCCGGUUUACUUGAAAGUGUGGCUCUCAGCUCCACCCCGCCCAAAGCCUUUAGGCCCAAACAUGGCGGAGUAGCAGGGAUGGUUGCAGUAGGGUUUGCCUUCGUGCGAAGUACACCUCCGAAGAGCACAUGAUAGCUGAAAUGAGGCCCGAAGGAACUGUAUCUGGGGCCACUGAAGAAGGUGAACUGCAAGAAGGUGCGAGGAAGGCCAGGAUGCGCAACGGUGGGUCUGAGGACAGAGCGUAGGGGUGAGGUCAAAGGCCAGGCACCCACCCAGCGAGGAGAGCCGGGAGCCACGGUGCCAAGGACAGCCUCCCUGGAGGGCACCUAGUGGGCAGGGCUUCUGUACAUGAGGGACCACGGCUGACUCCACAAUGCGCACAAUUCCCAGGAGAGUUAGGGAUGAGUAGAGAGACGUGCGUGGGACCUGGCAGUGUCUGU